rnacentral:rRNA from 1 species
UACGAAGGGGGCUAGCGUUGCUCGGAAUCACUGGGCGUAAAGCGCACGUAGGCGGACUCUUAAGUCGGGGGUGAAAGCCCAGGGCUCAACCCUGGAACUGCCUUCGAUACUGGGAGUCUUGAGUAUGGUAGAGGUUGGUGGAACUGCGAGUGUAGAGGUGAAAUUCGUAGAUAUCGGGAGGAACACCAGUGGCGAAGGCGGCGAUCUGGGAAGAUACUGACGCUGAGGUGCGAAAGCGUGGGGAGCAAACAGG